GCUUGUGACUGUAUCCUGGAAUUGGGUUUCGCGCUUUUUCUUGCGCAGUCUAGGUGGCAGGCUAUGAAGAUUUCCUUCCGGGAAUUAGAGCCAUCAGUGAGAGACCACUCUGGAAGAACUAAAAUUCUAGAUGGCGUUCUUGAAUCAGGACGCUUGACAUUGACAGGUGGGCAGUUUUUCUGGGGCGGAAGCCUCAUAAAGCGUAACUGAGGCGCGCAAAGGUUCCUCCAGUCUGGAUGGAAUCAGACAUUGAGUGUAAAGGCAGACAGGGAGUUCUGAUUGCAAGCAACAAGUCGAGCAGGGCGAAAGCCGCCUUAGUGAUCCGACGGGGCGAGUGGAAGGGCCGUCGCUCAACGGAUAAAAGUUA
rnacentral:rRNA from 1 species